AUUGAACGCUGGCGGCAUGCUUUACGCAUGCAAGUCGAACGGUCACAGGCGCCGAUGUGCUGACGAAUGGCCGACGGGUGCGUGAUGCAAAUGCGCGUACCCACUAGUUGGGCAUCACUACUCGAAAGCGUAGCUACUACCGCAUACCACCUCUGGAUGACAGCCGCGGACCUUAAGACCGCGAGCGCUUCGAGCGGCCGCUGUUAGAUUAGCUAGCUGGUGGGUUAAAGGCUCACCAAGCCAACGAUCCCUAGCUGGUCUGAGAGGAUGACCAGCCACACUGGAACUGAGACACGGUCCAGACUCCUACGGGAGGCAGCAGUAGGGAAUGUUCGGCAAUGGGCGCAAGCCUGAGCUAGCAACGCCGCGUGCAUGAAGAAGGUCUUCGGGUCGUAAAAUGCUGUUAUACGGAACGAAGCGACGAUUAAUAAGAUCCGCGGAUCAUGACGGUACCGUAUGAAUAAGCACCGGCUAACUACGUG
rnacentral:rRNA from 1 species